UGAGUACGAGAUGCUACGGCAUCGAAGCAGUCUAUGUCAUACUUCCAAGAAAAGCUUGCACUGUCAGAAACAGAUAAUGCCUGUACCAUAACCGACACAGGUGGGUAGGUAGAGUAUACUAAGGGGCGCGAGAUAACUCUCUCUAAGGAACUCGGCAAAAUGACUCCGUAACUUCGGGAGAAGGAGUGCCUUAUUUUUAAGGUUGCAAUAACAAGAUCCAAGCAACUGUUUACCAAAAACACAGGUCUCCGCUAAGUCGUAAGACGAUGUAUGGGGGCUGACGCCUGCCCAGUGCCAGAAGGUUAAAGAAGUCGGUUAGCAUUCGCGAAGCUGGUAACUGAAGCCCUGGUGAACGGCGGCCGUAACGAUAACGGUCCUAAGGUAGCGAAAUUCCUUGUCGGGUAAGUUCCGACCCGCACGAAAGGCGUAAUGAUUUGGAUACUGUCUCGGAGAGGGGCUCGGUGAAAUAGACUUGUCUGUGAAGAUGCGGACUACCUGCACCUGGACAGAAAGACCCUAUGAAGCUUUACUGUAACUUGAAAUUGAAAUUGGACUUUAUUUGCGCAGUAUAGGUGGGAGGCGUUGAAAAUAUUCUUGCGGGAAUAUUGGAGCCAUCAGUGAGAUACCACUCUUGUAAUGUUAGAUUUCUAACUUUAUAUCAUUAUCUGGUUAAAGAACAGUUUCAGGCGGGCAGUUUGACUGGGGCGGUCGCCUCCCAAAUGGUAACGGAGGCGCACAAAGGUUUCCUCUGAACGGGUAGAAAUCGUAUCUAGAGUGUAAAGGCAUAAGGAAGCUUGACUGUGAGACCUACAAGUCGAGCAGGGACGAAAGUCGGUCUUAGUGAUCUGACGGUGCUGAGUGGAAAGGCCGUCACUCAACGGAUAAAAGUUACUCUAAGGAUAACAGGCUGAUCUCCCCCAAGAGUUCACAUCGACGGGGAGGUUUGGCACCUCGAUGUCGGCUCAUCGCAUCCUGGGGCGGUAGUACGUCCCAAGGGUUGGGCUGUUCGCCCAUGAGAGCGGUACGCGAGCUGGGUUCAGAACGUCGUGAGACAGUUCGGUCCAUAUCCGGUGUAGGCGUUAGAAUAUUGAGAGGAGCCUUCUUUAGUACGAGAGGACCGAGAAGGACAUACCUCUGGUGUACCAGUUAUCGUGCCAACGGUAAACGCUGGGUAGCUAUGUAUGGAGUGGAUAACCGCUGAAAGCAUCUAAGUGGGAAGCCCACCUCAAGAUAAGUAUUCUA
rnacentral:rRNA from 1 species